rnacentral:rRNA from 1 species
ACGCCCAACAGCUAGCCCGCCUAAACAAUUUCAACAAACCCCUGUUAAUACCCCCUAAAUACCCUAGUAUUUAAAUUAAACAAACCAUUUUUCCCCCUUAGUAUAGGCGAUAGAAAGGGGACCACGGCGCAAUAGAGAAAGUACCGCAAGGGAACGCUGAAAGAGAAGUGAAAUAACCCAGUAAAGCCUGAAAAAGCAGAGAUUUAAACUCGUACCUUUUGCAUCAUGAUUUAGCGAGUGUACCUCAAGCAAAGAGCACUUUAGUUUGACGUCCCGAAACUACGUGAGCUACUCCAAGACAGCCUAUUAAUAGGGCGCACCCGUCUCUGUGGCAAAAGAGUGGGGAGAGCUUUGAGUAGAGGUGACAAACCUACCGAACC